rnacentral:misc_RNA from 1 species
UUUCCGUAGGUGAACCUGCGGAAGGAUCAUUAUUGUAUAACCGAGGUGCGAGGGCUGUCGCUGACCCGAAAGGUCGUGCACGCCCGAGUGCCCUCACACACAUCCAUCUCACCCCUAUGUGCACCCCGCGUGGGCACCCUUCGGGAUCAUCUCGGAGGGGGGCUCGCGUUUUCACACAAACCCCCCUUUUAAAAGUGUAGAAUGACCACAUUUAUGCAAUCAAUACAACUUUCAACAACGGAUCUCUUGGCUCUG